rnacentral:rRNA from 1 species
AGUGAACGCUGGCGGUAGGCCUAACACAUGCAAGUCGAACGGCAGCACAGUAAGAGCUUGCUCUUACGGGUGGCGAGUGGCGGACGGGUGAGGAAUACAUCGGAAUCUACUUUUUCGUGGGGGAUAACGUAGGGAAACUUACGCUAAUACCUCAUACGACCUACGGGUGAAAGCAGGGGAUCUUCGGACCUUGCGCGAUUGAAUGAGCCGAUGUCGGAUUAGCUAGUUGGCGGGGUAAAGGCCCACCAAGGCGACGAUCCGUAGCUGGUCUGAGAGGAUGAUCAGCCACACUGGAACUGAGACACGGUCCAGACUCCUACGGGAGGCAGCAGUGGGGAAUAUUGGACGAUGGGCGCAAGCCUGAUCCAGCCAUACCGCGUGGGUGAAGAAGGCCUUCGGGUUGUAAAGCCCUUUUGUUGGGAAAGAAAAGCAGCAGGUUAAUACCCCGCUGUUCUGACGGUACCCAAAGAAUAAGCACCGGCUAACUUCGUG